rnacentral:rRNA from 1 species
UACGUAGGGUGCAAGCGUUGCUCGGAAUCACUGGGCGUAAAGGGUGCGUAGGCGGGGCUUUAAGUCAGGGGGGAAAUCCUGGAGCUCAACUCCAGAACUGCCUUUGAUACUGAAGAUCUUGAGUUCGGGAGAGGUGAGUGGAACUGCGAGUGUAGAGGUGAAAUUCGUAGAUAUUCGCAAGAACACCAGUGGCGAAGGCGGCUCACUGGCCCGAUACUGACGCUGAGGCACGAAAGCGUGGGGAGCAAACAGG